GACGAACGCUGGCGGCGUGCCUAAUGCAUGCAAGUCGCACGCGGCACCUUCGGGUGCUGAGUGGCGAACGGCUGAGGAACACGUGGGGACCUGUCUGGGAGUGGGGGACAACACCGCGAAAGCGGUGCUAAUCCCGCAUACGCUCUGCGGAGGAAAGCCGAAAGGCGCUCCCGGGUGGCCCGGCGACCCAUCAGGUUGUUGGUGAGGUAACGGCCUACCAAGCCAAUGACGGGUCGCUGGUCUGUGAGGACGACCAGCCAGACUGGGACUGGGGCACGGCCCAGACUCCUACGGGAGGCAGCAGCAAGGUAUUUUCGGCAAUGGGCGCGAGCCUGACCGAGCAACGCCGCGUGCAGGAAGACGGCCUGCGGGUUGUAAACUGCUUUUGCUAGGGAAGAUAACAGACAGUACCUGGCGAAUCAGCCCCGGCUAACUCUGUG
rnacentral:rRNA from 1 species